rnacentral:lncRNA from 1 species
UUUCCUAGAGGACCUAAAUUAUUUUGUAUAUUUGAUUUUUCUGCAUACUAUUUUUAUUUAUCUUGCUGAUGUUGCCUUAUUUAAUAAUUGCUUUACAACUACUACUCUACAUACACAAAAAAAUUUAUGUUAGAAAUCAACAAGACGAGAUAAGUUCAAGUUAAAUAAUAUGAAAGCACAUAAUGAUCGGUUUCAAAAAUAAUUUAUGAUUAAAGUGUGAAAAAAUUGAAAUUGAAUGAAACAAUGACAAAACAAAAUUAAUGGAAUAGGUUGCUCGGGCAAAAGAGGAGGUGCACAGUCUUUAUAUGGCUUAUUAAAAACUCCUAAAAGUUCAAUGAGAAAAUGUGCCUAAGAAAAAAAAUACUACACCUAAAAGCCAUCCGUGCAUUGAACCAGCUCCCUGUUAGCGUCCAUCUCGUAUGUUCAUUUCGCUUUGCAUAGAUCUUAAACAUUGAAAGAAAGAUAAUUUAUUUAUAAACAGGAAAUCUGAAACCAACACACUGCAAUUUUUGUUUGACAAAAUAGGCAUUUUCAUCCCUCAACUUUGUUUCGAGAGCCAAAUUCAUCCUUUAACUUUCAAAUCAGCCAAACAGUCCCUCAAGUCUUGUUUUUGUUCAAACUCAUCCCUCAACAUUUGAAUCAGUCAAUCUAAUCCCUCAAGUUUUAUUUUUCUUAAACUCACCCCUCAAUUUUUAUUUUUCUAUUCAUUUCACUCAUGCUCAGCACCACAUUUUCAUAUGCAG